rnacentral:rRNA from 1 species
CCUACGGGUGGCAGCAGUCGAGAAUCAUUCACAAUGGGGGUAACCCUGAUGGUGCGACGCCGCGUGGGGGAAUGAAGGUCUUCGGAUUGUAAACCCCUGUCAUGUGGGAGCAAAUUAAAAAGAUAGUACCACAAGAGGAAGAGACGGCUAACUCUGUGCCAGCAGCCGCGGUAAUACAGAGGUCUCAAGCGUUGUUCGGAAUCACUGGGCGUAAGGCGUGCGUAGGCUGUUUCGUAAGUCGUGUGUGAAAGGCGCGGGCUCAACCCGCGGACGGCACAUGAUACUGCGAGACUAGAGUAAUGGAGGGGGAACCGGAAUUCUCGGUGUAGCUGUGAAAUGCGUAGAUAUCGAGAGGAACACUCGUGGCGAAGGCGGGUUCCUGGACAUUAACUGACGCUGAGGCACGAAGGCCAGGGGAGCGAAAGGGAUUAGAUACCCGGGUAGUC